AAGAUCAAGUACUUAACCACAAGACAACGACGAUGCCUCAAGUCAAAGGACUACUUACAUUAUUCCAACCAUUAGAGUUACUUGCUUGACAUGUGAGUAGACCUCCAUGCAAGUACUCUCGUUCGAUUGUAUUCAGUGAACUCAUUCCCUUAAUGAGCACCUACAUACUUGUCUUAGUGUCACAACACGAAUGGGAUGAGACUUUCCAUCCUUCCAAUUGAAGCGGACACAGUAUGUACCGGUCUACGUAUUGUCAGUAUCCCUCCGACAAUCCAAUGACCAGGAACCUUUUUGGACAUUUGGUUAUGUGAAGAAGGUCUCUGUAGUCUAACAUCAUUAGAUUACUUCUUCAAUCGAUCCAUUGUCCAUGGAUACACUAUUUAGGACAUAUAUCGUUUAUUGAGAUAGUCCUAAUUAGUAUCUUUGCCAUUUGAUGUAUAAGAGUCAUCCAUACAUCGAUUCAAUUGUCCUGAAAGGUUUCUUCCAAAGAUUGACUUUCAGGGCAUAUUUCCAACACAAAGUACACACCAACUAUGACUAACAUAAUUUCAAACACUCAACCUUCCAAUCACUUUUUUUGUUCUUUAAAUGUCUUGUUGAUUGAAAAGUCACACCAACCAACACAAAACAAAGACUUUAUGUAAUCAACCAAAACUUUGAAUCAAAUCACCAAACUUUUUGUUCUUGGUAUGAUCAAAGCAAGAACAUUGAAGAACAUCCAUGAAAACCCAUAAGAGCUCCAUGAAUGUUUUCACUUAAUAAAACUCAAAUUUUCACUACUCAAAAGGGGGUUAACAUCCUAGGAUACUUAGGGGUUCCAAAAGUCACUUUAAACCACUUUUAUCAAGACAAACAUGAACCCAAAAAAUCACCCUUUGGAUUUGGUCGAAUUUCCCCAUAAACAUGGAACCAAAUUUUAGCUCCAAAAUUCAUGCUCAUAUGAACUACAUCUACAACAUUUGAGAUGGCAAAUUUUCUAGCAAAAUUUACAUUCAAAGAAGCAAGAAUAAAGCUUGUAACAAUUACAACAUUCAAAUCAAAGACUAUGAACUACAAAACCCAAAAGGAUUCACCAACUACUAGACCUAGGCUCUGAUACCACUUGAAGGUAAUAUUUGUGAAAACUAGUUCAUUUGAGCAACAUCUAUGCAUGCUAUUAACAAUUAAAAGGCGGAAUCGUGCUUGUAUGCACUCAAAAACAAAACUUAACCCAUGAAAUUCAAAGCCUAGUAGUUGUGAUGAACCAAGACUCAACUCAAGAACAAAGUGAGUUGAGAAAUAUUAUACCUUUGUUGAUUCCUCUUUGCAUAAGCAAAGGCUAAUCACCCAAGAGAUAGGGUCUUCAUUCCUUACUUCUUAGCUCCAUGGAUUUCUUGGAUGAGGAUCAUAGAAUGGAUUCUCCAAGUUCCCAAAAUAGAGAAUCUCUAAGUCUCCACACCAAGGAGAGCAUUGAUGAAGAGAUGAGUGACCUAAGAAGAAUUAGAUGCUAGUAAAACCUUCCUAGGGUGGCCGGCCUCUUAGAGAGAAAAGGGAGCUUGUGUUCUCAUCUUUUCUCCAAAAGAAACCCUAAGGAUGAAAUAGCUAUAAAGUUGCAUUUAUACCACAUCACAACGGAGUGGCAAACUUGUAAUUAAGCCAAGUUCACUACCUCUCACUCUUAUGGCCGGCCAUAUUGGGUUCUUUGGGCUUUGAGGCCCUUUGUUUUUCAAGUUGUCAUACAACUUGAGUUAAUGGGCUUGACAUUCAAAUCCCAUUGGGCCUUGCGGCCUAAAACUAACCUGAGGUGUAUAACGAACAUAUUCGUUUCAUUAAUUAACAUAUUAAUUAAUCCUAGCCAUAAAUAAUUAAACCAUUUAAUUAUCUUUACUCAUCUCCGUUGUUUCUUCAAUCUCUACCUUACUCGGUGUAUGAUCCAUUAGGUUCAUUUUGGCGAGGCAGUGGGCGAUUGCUACUCUUAACGAUCGAUUGUGAAUUGAAACAUACUUUCAAUUCUCCCUUUAGGGCUCCCACAAACCAUGAGUGACACCUAACAGUAUGUCAUGGCUACCCAAGCUAAUCAAACAAGGUGGAGAACCUAUUCAGUUUAGGAUUACAAUGCAAUACGGUCUUUCUCUAAUACAGUACUCUUGACCACAUUGUUU
rnacentral:lncRNA from 1 species